rnacentral:rRNA from 1 species
AGAGUGAACGCUGGCGGUAGGCCUAACACAUGCAAGUCGAACGGCAGCACAGGAGAGCUUGCUCUCUGGGUGGCGAGUGGCGGACGGGUGAGGAAUACAUCGGAAUCUACCUUUUCGUGGGGGAUAACGUAGGGAAACUUACGCUAAUACCGCAUAAGACCUUCGGGUGAAAGCCGGGGACCUUCGGGCCUGGCGCGGAUAGAUGAGCCGAUGUCGGAUUAGCUUGUUGGCGGGGUAAAAGCCCACCAAGGCGACGAUCCGUAGCUGGUCUGAGAGGAUGAUCAGCCACACUGGAACUGAGACACGGUCCAGACUCCUACGGGAGCAGCGAGUGGGGAAUAGUUGGACAAGUGGGCGCAAGCCUGAU